UACGUAGGGUGCGAGCGUUAAUCGGAAUUACUGGGCGUAAAGCGUGCGCAGGCGGUUUUUUAAGUCAGAUGGGAAAUCCCCGAGGUCAACUUUGGAACUGCGUUUGAAACUACAAGACUAGAGUAGGUCAGAGGGGGGUAGAAUUCCACGUGUAGCAGUGAAAUGCGUAGAGAUGUGGAGGAAUACCAAUGGCGAAGGCAGCCCCCUGGGAUCAUACUGACGCUCAUGCACGAAAGCGUGGGGAGCAAGCAGG
rnacentral:rRNA from 1 species